GGUUAAGCGACUAAGCGUACACGGUGGAUGCCCUGGCAGUCAGAGGCGAUGAAGGACGUGCUAAUCUGCGAUAAGCGUCGGUAAGGUGAUAUGAACCGUUAUAACCGGCGAUUUCCGAAUGGGGAAACCCAGUGUGUUUCGACACACUAUCAUUAACUGAAUCCAUAGGUUAAUGAGGCGAACCGGGGGAACUGAAACAUCUAAGUACCCCGAGGAAAAGAAAUCAACCGAGAUUCCCCCAGUAGCGGCGAGCGAACGGGGAGGAGCCCAGAGCCUGAAUCAGUGUGUGUGUUAGUGGAAGCGUCUGGAAAGGCGCGCGAUACAGGGUGACAGCCCCGUACACAAAAAUGCACAUAUUGUGAGCUCGAUGAGUAGGGCGGGACACGUGGUAUCCUGUCUGAAUAUGGGGGGACCAUCCUCCAAGGCUAAAUACUCCUGACUGACCGAUAGUGAACCAGUACCGUGAGGGAAAGGCGAAAAGAACCCCGGCGAGGGGAGUGAAAAAGAACCUGAAACCGUGUACGUACAAGCAGUGGGAGCACGCUUCGGCGUGUGACUGCGUACCUUUUGUAUAAUGGGUCAGCGACUUAUAUUCUGUAGCAAGGUUAACCGAAUAGGGGAGCCGAAGGGAAACCGAGUCUUAACUGGGCGUUAAGUUGCAGGGUAUAGACCCGAAACCCGGUGAUCUAGCCAUGGGCAGGUUGAAGGUUGGGUAACACUAACUGGAGGACCGAACCGACUAAUGUUGAAAAAUUAGCGGAUGACUUGUGGCUGGGGGUGAAAGGCCAAUCAAACCGGGAGAUAGCUGGUUCUCCCCGAAAGCUAUUUAGGUAGCGCCUCGUGAAUUCAUCUCCGGGGGUAGAGCACUGUUUCGGCAAGGGGGUCAUCCCGACUUACCAACCCGAUGCAAACUGCGAAUACCGGAGAAUGUUAUCACGGGAGACACACGGCGGGUGCUAACGUCCGUCGUGAAGAGGGAAACAACCCAGACCGCCAGCUAAGGUCCCAAAGUCAUGGUUAAGUGGGAAACGAUGUGGGAAGGCCCAGACAGCCAGGAUGUUGGCUUAGAAGCAGCCAUCAUUUAAAGAAAGCGUAAUAGCUCACUGGUCGAGUCGGCCUGCGCGGAAGAUGUAACGGGGCUAAACCAUGCACCGAAGCUGCGGCAGCGACGCUGAUGCGUUGUUGGGUAGGGGAGCGUUCUGUAAGCCUGCGAAGGUGUGCUGUGAGGCAUGCUGGAGGUAUCAGAAGUGCGAAUGCUGACAUAAGUAACGAUAAAGCGGGUGAAAAGCCCGCUCGCCGGAAGACCAAGGGUUCCUGUCCAACGUUAAUCGGGGCAGGGUGAGUCGACCCCUAAGGCGAGGCCGAAAGGCGUAGUCGAUGGGAAACAGGUUAAUAUUCCUGUACUUGGUGUUACUGCGAAGGGGGGACGGAGAAGGCUAUGUUGGCCGGGCGACGGUUGUCCCGGUUUAAGCGUGUAGGCUGGUUUUCCAGGCAAAUCCGGAAAAUCAAGGCUGAGGCGUGAUGACGAGGCACUACGGUGCUGAAGCAACAAAUGCCCUGCUUCCAGGAAAAGCCUCUAAGCAUCAGGUAACAUCAAAUCGUACCCCAAACCGACACAGGUGGUCAGGUAGAGAAUACCAAGGCGCUUGAGAGAACUCGGGUGAAGGAACUAGGCAAAAUGGUGCCGUAACUUCGGGAGAAGGCACGCUGAUAUGUAGGUGAAGUCCCUUGCGGAUGGAGCUGAAAUCAGUCGAAGAUACCAGCUGGCUGCAACUGUUUAUUAAAAACACAGCACUGUGCAAACACGAAAGUGGACGUAUACGGUGUGACGCCUGCCCGGUGCCGGAAGGUUAAUUGAUGGGGUCAGCGCAAGCGAAGCUCUUGAUCGAAGCCCCGGUAAACGGCGGCCGUAACUAUAACGGUCCUAAGGUAGCGAAAUUCCUUGUCGGGUAAGUUCCGACCUGCACGAAUGGCGUAAUGAUGGCCAGGCUGUCUCCACCCGAGACUCAGUGAAAUUGAACUCGCUGUGAAGAUGCAGUGUACCCGCGGCAAGACGGAAAGACCCCGUGAACCUUUACUAUAGCUUGACACUGAACAUUGAGCCUUGAUGUGUAGGAUAGGUGGGAGGCUUUGAAGUGUGGACGCCAGUCUGCAUGGAGCCGACCUUGAAAUACCACCCUUUAAUGUUUGAUGUUCUAACGUUGACCCGUAAUCCGGGUUGCGGACAGUGUCUGGUGGGUAGUUUGACUGGGGCGGUCUCCUCCUAAAGAGUAACGGAGGAGCACGAAGGUUGGCUAAUCCUGGUCGGACAUCAGGAGGUUAGUGCAAUGGCAUAAGCCAGCUUGACUGCGAGCGUGACGGCGCGAGCAGGUGCGAAAGCAGGUCAUAGUGAUCCGGUGGUUCUGAAUGGAAGGGCCAUCGCUCAACGGAUAAAAGGUACUCCGGGGAUAACAGGCUGAUACCGCCCAAGAGUUCAUAUCGACGGCGGUGUUUGGCACCUCGAUGUCGGCUCAUCACAUCCUGGGGCUGAAGUAGGUCCCAAGGGUAUGGCUGUUCGCCAUUUAAAGUGGUACGCGAGCUGGGUUUAGAACGUCGUGAGACAGUUCGGUCCCUAUCUGCCGUGGGCGCUGGAGAACUGAGGGGGGCUGCUCCUAGUACGAGAGGACCGGAGUGGACGCAUCACUGGUGUUCGGGUUGUCAUGCCAAUGGCACUGCCCGGUAGCUAAAUGCGGAAGAGAUAAGUGCUGAAAGCAUCUAAGCACGAAACUUGCCCCGAGAUGAGUUCUCCCUGAC
rnacentral:rRNA from 1 species